rnacentral:rRNA from 1 species
AUUGAACGCUGGCGGCAGGCCUAACACAUGCAAGUCGAACGGUAGCACAGAGAGCUUGCUCUCGGGUGACGAGUGGCGGACGGGUGAGUAACGUCUGGGAAACUGCCCGAUGGAGGGGGAUAACUACUGGAAACGGUAGCUAAUACCGCAUAACGUCGCAAGACCAAAGUGGGGGGCCUUCGGGCCUCAACCCAACGGCUGGGCCCAGAUGGGAUUAGCUAGUAGGUGGGGUAAUGGCUCACCUAGGCGACGAUCCCUAGCUGGUCUGAGAGGAUGACCAGCCACACUGGAACUGAGACACGGUCCAGACUCCUACGGGAGGCAGCAGUGGGGAAUAUUGCACAAUGGGCGCAAGCCUGAUGCAGCCAUGCCGCGUGUAUGAAGAAGGCCUUCGGGUUGUAAAGUACUUUCAGCGGGGAGGAAGGCGGUGAAGUUAAUAACUUCACCGAUUGACGUUACCCGCAGAAGAAGCACCGGCUAACUCCGUGCCAGCAGCCGCAGUAA